AUUGAACGCUGGCGGCAGGCUUAACACAUGCAAGUCGAGCGGGGAAAGGUAGCUUGCUACCUGACCUAGCGGCGGACGGGUGAGUAAUGCUUAGGAAUCUGCCUAUUAGUGGGGGACAACGUUCCGAAAGGAACGCUAAUACCGCAUACGUCCUACGGGGGAAAGCAGGGGAUCUUCGGACCUUGCGCUAAUAGAUGAGCCUAAGUCGGAUUAGCUUGUUGGUGGGGUAAAGGCCUACCAAGGCGACGAUCUGUAGCGGGUCUGAGAGGAUGAUCCGCCACACUGGGACUGAGACACGGCCCAGACUCCUACGGGAGGCAGCAGUGGGGAAUAUUGGACAAUGGGCGCAAGCCUGAUCCAGCCAUGCCGCGUGUGUGAAGAAGGCCUUUUGGUUGUAAAGCACUUUAAGCGAGGAGGAGGCUCCUUUAGUUAAUACCUAAAGUGAGUGGACGUUACUCGCAGAAUAAGCACCGGCUAACUCUGUGCCAGCCGCCGCCGUAAUAC
rnacentral:rRNA from 1 species